UACAGAGGGGGCAAGCGUUGUUCGGAAUUACUGGGCGUAAAGGGCGCGUAGGCGGCCUUCUAAGUCGAACGUGAAAUCCCCGGGCUCAACCCGGGAACUGCGUCCGAUACUGGAAGGCUUGAAUCCGGGAGAGGGAUGCGGAAUUCCAGGUGUAGCGGUGAAAUGCGUAGAUAUCUGGAGGAACACCGGUGGCGAAGGCGGCAUCCUGGACCGGCAUUGACGCUGACGGCGCGAAAGCCGGGGAGCAAAGCGGGAUAAG
rnacentral:rRNA from 1 species